UAGGGAAUCUUCCGCAAUGGGCGAAAGCUUGACGGAGCAACGCCGCGUGAGUGAUGAAGGUCUUCGGAUCGUAAAACUCUGUUAUUAGGGAAGAACAAAUGUGUAAGUAACUAUGCACGUCUUGACGGUACCUAAUCAGAAAGCCACGGCUAACUACGUGCCAGCAGCCGCGGUAAUACGUAGGUGGCAAGCGUUAUCCGGAAUUAUUGGGCGUAAAGCGCGCGUAGGCGGUUUUUUAAGUCUGAUGUGAAAGCCCACGGCUCAACCGUGGAGGGUCAUUGGAAACUGGAAAACUUGAGUGCAGAAGAGGAAAGUGGAAUUCCAUAUGUAGCGAUGAAAUGCGCAGAGAUAUGGAGGAACACCAGUGGCGAAGGCGACUUUCUGGUCUGUAACUGACGCUGAUGUGCGAAAGCGUGGGGAUCAAACAGG
rnacentral:rRNA from 1 species